rnacentral:lncRNA from 1 species
UGGCACUGAACAGAGCCCUUUGUCGACUCUUUGGCUCUUGCAAUAUCCAGAGGAAAGGCGUCCUCACUGAUCUUCCACUGGGGAAGCCGAGACCCCAGGAGGGUCAGUCUCUGUUGGAGUCAGUCAGGUCGAGGAGUCACCAGAUGUGACAGGAAAAGAGGCUUGUGCAGAGAGCUGGGGCCAUUCUUCUGACAUCUUCAGUUCCUCCUUCCCUUCCUCCAUCUUGCUGCCCGCAUGCCCCUCCUUCAAGAAUGCUUUUCAUGGUUGUCAGCCUACUCCACAGGUAUUGCUUCAUCAGUCGAGCCUUCCCUGCUCUUCCCUUCUUUGGGCUGAGUUCUGGAAAAGCCACCAGUGUCUCAUCCCUGGGUGAUGUGAUCUCGGCUAGUGGGCCUGGUAGCUUACCCGGCACCCCAGCCAUGGAAGAUGGAGACAGAACCCAGCAGAACAGACUGGACAGGAAGACAUGUCAGCAGCUCUGGGUUGGACUGAGACUCCGCCUCAAAGAAUAAGGCAGAAGAGUGUCAGGAUGAUUCCAGACAGCAACCUCAAGGCUCUACAUGCAUGAACACACAAGCUCUGCCAGAAUGUAUGCAUACCAUGUACACAUGCGGGCCCCCAUGCAAGCAUGCAUACCCACAAGCACACAUGCCACACACAUGAAACAAAAAACAAAAAUAAAGCGUUUGGAUGUAGUCAUGCUUCCUAUUCUUGAAACAAUCCAUGCGUUGGGUCCUACCGUCCCACCCAUUUUACAGAAC